AUGCUGUGUGAAGAAGAGGAUGGAAGAUCUCUGGAGUGUCGGCAUCACCCCUACAAGAAAGGGUUGUUUGAUCUAAAAGUGUUCCAAUCCCCUCCGUCUCUGGUCGUCACUCAGGGGCAGCAUGCCAAGCUGGGGUGCUUUUUCUCUGGGGAAUCCAAUAGUAAAGGUGCCGUGUCGUGGCACAAAACUCAACUAGAUGGGAACAUGAGCACCAGCCAUGUCAUUCCUCUGAGAAACCGCUUCUCUCUUGCCGAUCCUAAGACUUUCCUGAGUGAAGGAGAUGUAUCAUUGCUCAUCAGUAACGUCACCCAGGAAGAUGCUGGGAUCUACUUCUGCAAGGUGCACAUGUGGGAGGAGGCAGAGGAACAGGGGCCCGGCACCAGCCUCAUUGUGUACGGUGCCAUCAAGUCUACAGAAUGA